GAUGAACGCUGGCGGCGUGCCUAACACAUGCAAGUCGAGCGAAGAGGGGACGGGUGAGUAACAUGUGGAGAACCUCCCAUAUGACGGGGAUAACUUCGGGAAACCGGAGCUUAUCCCGAAUCUUAUCGAUGGAUCCGCGCUGCAUUAGCUAGUUGGUAAGGUAACGGCUUACCAAGGCAACGAUGCAUAGCCGACCUGAGAGGGUGAUCGGCCACACUGGAACUGAGACACGGUCCAGACUCCUACGGGAGGCAGCAGUGGGGAAUCUUCCGCAAUGGGCGAAAGCCUGACCGAGCAACGCCGCGUGAGUGAUGAAGGUCUUCGGAUCGUAAAGCUCUGUUAUUAGGGAAGCGGUACCUAAUCAGAAAGCCCCGGCUAACUACGUGCCAGCAGCCGCGGUAAUUC
rnacentral:rRNA from 1 species